UGGAUUAUUUAGGUAAUGUCAAAGUCAGGAACAGAACAAGAAGAGGGCUUGGUGAAACUCAAUUGCAGGAACUCGGGAAGUGGCGCAAUAUAAAUGCCAUACAGAAUAUUCCAACACAGAUGAAGCAUCAUAAAUAUCAAGAGCAUAUAACAUUCCAUUGAAUGCAAACUUUACUGUACAUGGAAGGAAUGAGAAUAUCCAUUAAAUUCAUUGUGUGAUUUGUAUCGAGAAAGAAGUCCAAAAUUUA